UUAGGGCUUUGUCACUGUCUAUUCCUGGAUGGAUGCGGCCUCUGCCUUCAGCCACCUGUAACAUAAUGAAUGCUGCAAACUGCAAAGGAAAAAAAAAAAAUUAAAUCAGUUGGCAAUCAGCUGGUAUAUCAUGCCCGAGAGCAACAGAGAAUGGACUGCAAGAUAUUGUAUUCUUCCUCAAACCUGCUUCCACUAUAUAUAUGUUUUAUGCUCCUUUCUUAACAAAGAGCUUAAUUAUCAUAGAGUGAAUGUUUCUCCUAAUCUCAAUUUUUGACAGAGCCCCUAUUAUGGGUUUUUGAGAAUGACCUCCCAUGU
rnacentral:lncRNA from 1 species